rnacentral:lncRNA from 10 species
GUUCCCAAAUGCACUUAGAAGAAGCCAAAGCAAAGCUCUCUAGACCUGCACUAUCCAGUAAGAAAUAGAUGAAUGGAGAGAAGAUUGAAAGAGGAUUGGAGAGGAUUGAAAGCUGGACGCUAGUACAGUGAGAAUAUCCUAGUCUGAGAUAAAUGUCUGACCUGCCUGACAGUUACUGUAAAUUACUGAAUUGACAUUCUGAGAUAUCAUAUAUAAUCAAGUUCUACGGGCAUGUCAAAUAUAAUCCUGUCCCUAAGAGACGGAACUCUUCUCAGCAAACUGGCAAAAUCAGAUUUCUGAGGCAGCAAGACACAGACCCUGGGUAGUCGUGAUUUCAAGCAGAAGAAAUGCCACGUUGCAUGUGAGCUCUGGGUAACCAAUUAUGCACCCUUGUGCCUGUGAUACCCUCUGCCUCACUGUGAGCCACAGAUGUGUCCUAUGAGAACUUACAGGGUCAAAUUUGGAUUUGGGUUUUAUUACUCUCCUCAUCAGCAGUGAGCACCACGAACACAAGCAAUGCAUCUUUUCCUCUUUAUAUCCUCAGCACUUUGCAUGCCAUCUAACAAACAGAAGACCUUCAAUUACUGUUAGCUGAAUGGAUGAAUGAAUAAAUGAACAAGUGAUACUAAUUGCCAUGAGGCUACAUAGAAGUUGAUGUGAAACAACAUAGGGAUGGAUCAAUGCCGAGGAGAAUGCUCAAUCAGGUGAAUUAAUGUUCCAGGAAUUAUGCUGGAGGCAGCCGUGAAUCAGAGAUGAGCAUCCUUGGGUCCCAUGAAAAGUGGCUGUCAUGAUUCCAACAGUAAAUUGCAGCACAACAGUUUCACACAUACCAAAUAAACACAGGUCCAUGGACAUCAAGGUGUUUAUAAACAUUCAUGUCCCACCAAUCAAAUUGCCACAGUUGCCCUCUCCCUGAUGAACCUGAUUGGAUCCCGUUGGAGACUCUACCUUACUUGACACACUGAAUGCUGCAGUUGAUGGAACCUCGAAACCAACAGUAUUUUAGAAGCUUCUUCUUCUCCUCCAUGUUAAAUUCUACUUUCCCUUACCUGUUAAAUUACUUUUGUUAAAUUACUCACUGUUAAAUCAUAAUUGCAUGUUAAUGAGUUACUAGAAGAGCUGGUACUAUGAUACAAAAGAAAGUUAUCUCUGCCCCAGACCCCACAGAGAAACCUCUGGACUUCACCUGCCCCUCAUUCUUGCCUGGGAUACAUGUGAGGAUGGGUAUAGGUCUCCCAAAAAGCUAACCUUUCCCUAUAAUUAUCUCUCCCACACCACACUUCUGUCCAUAGCUUUUCUCCUUAUUAGUUCUUUAUACACAUUUUUCAUUACUUACCCAUUCAUUCAUUGACUCAAUAAACAUGUUUUUCAGCACCUACUAUGAUUCUAAAAAUUACUAUAAUACAGCGCCUGUCCCAGUCUGACUAGAUCCCAUAUAUUAGAAAGAAAUCUGAAACAUUCAGACAUUAAGAAAAAAUGUCCUAGUAUCCCUUUACUUAGAAUCAUGCAGACAAAAUACUUAGAUAUUUUAGUCAAUAAAUAAAUAUUCAUUGAAUCUUUCUACUAAAUAAUUAGCAUCAAUUUAGCCUUCAUAAUAGAAAGGAUUUAAGAUGUAGUUUGUAUUCAGCUACACUUAAGGUAUAGCUGAAAAUACGUUAAAUAUUUUCAAUGAAGUAGGUUAGACAAGUCUGCACAUAUGAAACAAUAAAGAGUAAUGUAAGAAGUUCCAAAAUGUGUGAUCAGUCUGUAAUUAUUUGGGGAUUCAGAGAUAUAAUUAUUGUAGGAGAUGAGAGCUAGCGAG